rnacentral:rRNA from 1 species
GACGUAGGGCGCGAGCGUUGUCCGGAUUUAUUGGGCGUAAAGAGCUCGUAGGCGGCUGCUCAAGUCGAAUGUGAAAACUCGAGGCUCAACCUCGAGCCUGCAUUCGAUACUGGGCGGCUAGAGUCUGGUAGGGGGAUCUGGAAUUCCUGGUGUAGCGGUGGAAUGCGCAGAUAUCAGGAGGAACACCGGUGGCGAAGGCGGUUCUCUGGGCCUUACCUGACGCUGAGGAGCGAAAGCGUGGGGAGCGAACAGG